UAUAAAAAACUAGAUCAAUAACAAUUUUAAUAUUGUAGGUCAUGUUUUGAUCCCCAACAAAGUCUAAAUUCAACAAUUUGACAAUAGGUUCAAUGGACAUUUUCAGAGUAGGAUUGAUGAACCAAAUAAGCACAUCCCAUAAAUUGAGUGCCUAGAUGUAUAUUUUGUUCUAGUUUUCAUGUACACCGCAUGAAUGGGCUGGUACCGUAGUGGCAAUUGCGUCAUGAUACAUAUACCGUGGGGCUCCUCCCUCUUUUGUGUAGUUCAUCAUCUGCAGCGCACGGUCAAUAAGACCACAUGUCGAUGAUUAUCUCACCCAAAAAAGGUAGUUCGACAUUCAAUUUCCUCUUCACGUAGUAAACACUUUUCUUUUGACCUCACUAUUUUGACUGUAUUUUGUACUCAUGUUACAUUAUAGCUGAACCUAACAAAGCAUUCGUACACACGGAGCGAUGGACACACU
rnacentral:lncRNA from 1 species